AGGGAUUUAGCUCAGCGGCAUAAGCACCUGCCUUGCAAGCAGGUGGUCGUGAGUUCGAUCCCCAGUACCGA
rnacentral:tRNA from 1 species